AUGAAAGGUCCUUUCACAUAGCAUGUCUUUCCCAGCUGCUUACCAACUGAGCCACUGAGAGUCUAGCAGCACUUGCUGAAGCUGUUCAACAUGGGAUUUUCUUAGGGGAUUAUGCUGUCAUGCUUCCUAGGAUGGAGAUGCAAUAAAAAAUGUAUAUCUUGGCAAUGUC